rnacentral:rRNA from 1 species
CAAACGGGUGAGUAACGCGUGGGAAUCUACCCAUCUCUACGGAAUAACACAGAGAAAUUUGUGCUAAUACCGUAUACGUCCUUUUUGGAGAAAGAUUUAUCGGAGAUGGAUGAGCCCGCGUUGGAUUAGCUAGUUGGUGAGGUAAAGGCUCACCAAGGCGACGAUCCAUAGCUGGUCUGAGAGGAUGAUCAGCCACACUGGGACUGAGACACGGCCCAGACUCCUACGGGAGGCAGCAGUGGGGAAUAUUGGACAAUGGGGGCAACCCUGAUCCAGCCAUGCCGCGUGAGUGAUGAAGGCCCUAGGGUUGUAAAGCUCUUUCACCGGUGAAGAUAAUGACGGUAACCGGAGAAGAAGCCCCGGCUAACUUCGUG